rnacentral:rRNA from 1 species
UUCCGGUUGAUCCCGCCGGACCUGACUGCUAUCGGAUUGAUACUAAGCCAUGCGAGUCUUUGUAGUAAUACAAGGCAUACGGCUCAGUAACGCGUAGUCAACCUACCCUAUGGACAAGAAUAAUCUCGGGAAACUGAGCAUAAUUCUUGAUAGAUCAUAAUGCCUGGAAUGGUUUAUGGUUAAAAUGAUUCGUCGCCAUAGGAUGGGACUGCGGCCUAUCAGCUUGUUGGUGAGGUAAUGGCCCACCAAGGCGAUUACAGGUACGGGCUCUGAGAGGAGAAGCCCGGAGAUGGGUACUGAGACAAGGACCCAGGCCCUAUGGGGCGCAGCAGGCGAGAAAACUUUGCAAUGUGCGAAAGCACGACAAGGUUAGUCCGAGUGAUUUCUGCUAAAGAGAUCUUUUGCUAGUUAUAAAACCACUAGUGAAUAAGGGGUGGGCAAGUUCUGGUGUCAGCCGCCGCGGUAAAACCAGCACCUCAAGUGGUCAGGAUGAUUAUUGGGCCUAAAGCAUCCGUAGCCGGCUCUGUAAGUUUUCGGUUAAAUCUAUGCGCUCAACGUAUGGGCUGCCGAAAAUACUGUAGAGAUAGGGAGUGGGAGAGGUAGACGGUACUCGGUAGGAAGGGGUAAAAUCCUUUGAUCUAUCGAUGACCACCUGUGGCGAAGGCGGUCUACCAGAACACGUUCGACGGUGAGGGAUGAAAGCUGGGGGAGCAAACCGGAUUAGAUACCCGGGUAGUCCCAGCUGUAAACGAUGCAGACUCGAUGAUGCAUUGGCAUAUAGCCAGUGCAGUGUCGCAGGGAAGCCGUUAAGUCUACCGCCUGGGAAGUACGUACGCAAGUAUGAAACUUAAAGGAAUUGGCGGGGGAGCACCACAAGGGGUGAAGCCUGCGGUUCAAUUGGAGUCAACGCCGGG